rnacentral:rRNA from 1 species
UACGUAGGUGGCGAGCGUUGUCCGGAUUUACUGGGCGUAAAGAGCGCGCAGGCGGUCGUUCAAGUCGCGUGUGAAAGCCCCCGGCUCAACUGGGGAGGGUCACGCGAUACUGAUCGACUCGAAGGCAGGAGAGGGAAGUGGAAUUCCCGGUGUAGUGGUGAAAUGCGUAGAUAUUGGGAGGAACACCAGUGGCGAAGGCGGCUCACUGGACCGGAACUGACGCUGAGGCGCGAAAGCGUGGGGAGCAAACAGG